UGGCUCACCAUAGCAGGCACACACAGAGAGAUCAAGAACACACACACACACACACACACACAGAGCAGUCCUGGCUGUUCCUGACAGGAUGAAAGGUCAGAGUGCAGAAGAAAAUGAACACAUAACAACUCGCAUUCUUUAAUUCCUUUCUUCUCUGCAAGUCUGAAUCCCACUAACCUAACAAGCUACUGUUAUCGAUUUGGAAGCAAAGCAAAUGCAGCAACGGAACGAAAACUUUCUGGAAGCCUUAAACACACACACAGGACCCAGAGGCAAAAAGUCUAUAGAAUCUUUGGAAGAUAGCUAGAGGCUAGAGUUAGAAUUCUGGAGAUAACCCAAAGAGAGGCGGAAAAACAGCAACAACAAUCCACCUCUCAGUCCUCUUCCCUGAUUUAUAAAUGUUCCAAAUGUCUUUUAUUUAAGCACAGUAAAUUAGUUGUGCCCUCACAUAGAACUGAGCUGCCUGAUUCCCACCCACCCACUCAUGCCCACCACUUUUGUUGGAAUAGAAGAAACUCUGCUAAAGUCCUAUAUAAAGGGUAGGUUUAGAAGACCCACUGGAAGUAAGUUGCCAGGAACCAGUCAUUUCUGCUGUGGCUUCUGGCACAAGCCACAAAUUUGGCUUAUUUUGUGACAUUUGAAUCCAGAAAUUUUGGGUACCCUAGCAGCACCUUCCUCCUGCUACCUGACAUCUGCUACCUGACUUCACAUCUUGGCUACAGAAGCUGGGUGGAGAGAGAGAAAUGCUGCUUAGGAAUUUCCAGGUUGAGUGAAAUUUGUGACUUGCACCAAAAGUGUGUGCUUGUCAGGAACUGCCAGUUCUUACCAAUUUCCUUGCAGCAGGUCUUCUGAAUCCAUCCUAAGAAUGCUAGGAAUGCUAGGGCUGAAUGAAAGGCCCGUGUUAUUGACUCCUGUGUAAGGGUGUAUACGGACUGUGUGUGGUGGUUCACUCCAAAUUUAGACUGAACCGCUGCUCUGUAAACCGGUUUGUCAGACAGAUCAUCUGAGUCAGUUGAACCAGCUUGAACCGGUUCAGAGCACUUCACGAUUGAACCAGUUGAACCUCCCAGUUUGCAGCUGACUGGUUUGACUGCAACCAGUCUAUGCACACUCCUACUCCUGUGUGGAGUUUGAAUCAGUAGCCAGUGUUCAACAAACCACACCAUAUCGAAUGAAAUCGAAUGAAUGAAUACACACCAUACAAACCUUCCUCCUCCUAAUUUCCCCAGAAUUUCACUUUAUUGGGCAAUUUUCCAUAUCCAUUUAGAGAUAUGUGGAAAGCUCAUAAAGCUCUUUAGCUUCCCUUGAAAUUCCUGAAGAUAUUUUGCUUUAACAGGACUCUCAAAAUGCACUUUAAAUAUUGGCAAAAUUUGGUGGAAAAGGAAAUGCUCUUGUUAACCUGUCCUCAUUAUACGUUUUCUAAAUGCAUAGGAAGCUCCUUCUUUGAAUUUCUUUGCAUUUUAAAAUAUCCCCUGAGUGUCAUACCAGAUGCAUUAUUUGAAUUUCUCUGUCAGCAGAAGGCAGAUUUGGAGAAGCUAUUUUCUACUGCUUUGGGAAAUUUAGUACAAUCCAAUUUAGUGGAAUAUUUGAGUACUUAGACAAUGUAAAUACCAUAUGAGUGACAUUUGGUGUUAACACUAUAUAAAUAAUAGCUGCCCUGCAAUUACAAACCUAUUUCCUUCAUCACGGCUGAUGUCCUAAGACCGAAAGAACACCAGGGAAGAAAGGAAAACAAUCCAUUUCCUGCAACUUUUCCUGCUGAAUAAUUACUUCCUGUGUUUAUCUGAUAUGUGUUUCCUGUGACCUGUUUCCAUAUGUUUCUCCCUUGUUCGAGAUUUUAAAGGACUCACUGAAAAGAAAAUCUUUGUAUUAGCUUUUGGCAUUUUUCCCUGAAUGUCUCCUUCGACUAUUAUGGUUGCUAAGGACACAGAAUCAAAUUUAAGCUCCUGCUGUAUUUGUUUUUACUGCUAAUAAUCAAGCUGAGGCAUACCCAUGGCUAAUCUCAUGUGUGGCAGCUCUCGCGAGAGUUCGUGAACAAAAGCAUCUGAUUGGGCAGUGGGGAUUCCAUAUGCAGAUAGGAAGGAGGAGCCUGUGAUGGUUAAGCAGGAAAAAGGAAUCCUGAAGGAAAACAAACUUCUUCAAAUGGAGUAUGAAAACAUCCUAACCAAUGAGGAUGAUGUGGAGCCAUUAAUGAGCACCCACUGAGUUAUGUUCAUCCCCACGACAACCCUGUGAGAACUCAUCCCGCUCCACUGCUGCAGCCUUGGAAAAAGUUGUAUGUCAUGGUGGGCCCUGAAAGGGAAGUAAAAGCUAGACAAUGAGAGUGAUUGGGUUGGAAAAGCCCAUGCGCUCCUGUUUUGGGAUGAUAUUCCUAGAAGAGGCCAUCACUAACUGUGCCAGAAAAUCCAUACGUAAAUCUUGCAUGUGUACAUGAGAAAUGAGGAGAUGGAACUGAAGUCACUUUCAUGUGGGAAAAUGAAACACAGCAACUCGUUAUACUGCUGAAAUCUUAGUGUGUCUGAU